CUCCAGGAAGCAGCUCCCCUGUCCUCCCGCUGUGUGGAGCGUUGCCAUGGUAACGCGCGGCAACGCUCCACACAGCAUCGCGCAGGAGGACAGGGGAGCUGCUUCCUGGAG